rnacentral:rRNA from 1 species
AGCUUGCUCCUUGGGUGGCGAGUGGCGGACGGGUGAGGAAUACAUCGGAAUCUGCCUAUUUGUGGGGGAUAACGUAGGGAAACUUACGCUAAUACCGCAUACGACCUACGGGUGAAAGCGGAGGACCUUCGGGCUUCGCGCAGAUAGAUGAGCCGAUGUCGGAUUAGCUAGUUGGCGGGGUAAAGGCCCACCAAGGCGACGAUCCGUAGCUGGUCUGAGAGGAUGAUCAGCCACACUGGAACUGAGACACGGUCCAGACUCCUACGGGAGGCAGCAGUGGGGAAUAUUGGACAAUGGGCGCAAGCCUGAUCCAGCCAUGCCGCGUGGGUGAAGAAGGCCUUCGGGUUGUAAAGCCCUUUUGUUGGGAAAGAAAAGCAGCCGGUUAAUACCCGGUUGUUCUGACGGUACCCAAAGAAUAAGCACCGGCUAACUUCGUGCCAGCAGCCGCGGUAAUACGAAGGGUGCAAGCGUUACUCGGAAUUACUGGGCGUAAAGCGUGCGUAGGUGGUUUGUUAAGUCUGAUGUGAAAGCCCUGGGCUCAACCUGGGAAUUGCAUUGGAUACUGGCAGGCUAGAGUGCGGUAGAGGGUAGUGGAAUUCCCGGUGUAGCAGUGAAAUGCGUAGAGAUCGGGAGGAACAUCCGUGGCGAAGGCGACUACCUGGACCAGCACUGACACUGAGGCACGA